rnacentral:rRNA from 1 species
AACGAACGCUGGCGGCAUGCCUAACACAUGCAAGUCGAACGAACCCUUCGGGUCUAGUGGCGCACGGGUUCGUAACGCGUGGGAACCUGCCCUUAGGUUCGGAAUAACUCCCCGAAAGGGGUGCUAAUACCGGAUAAUGUCUUCGGACCAAAGAUUUAUCGCCUUUGGAUGGGCCCGCGUUGGAUUAGCUAGUUGGUAGGGUAAAAGCUUACCAAGGCGACGAUCCAUAGCUGGUCUGAGAGGAUGAUCAGCCACACUGGGACUGAGACACGGCCCAGACUCCUACGGGAGGCAGCAGUGGGGAAUAUUGCACAAUGGGCGAAAGCCUGAUCCAGCCAUGCCGCGUGAGUGAUGAAGGCCUUAGGGUUGUAAAGCUCUUUUACCCGGGAUGAUAAUGACGGUACCGGGAGAAUAAGCUCCGGCUAACUCCGUG